UACGUAGGUGGCGAGCGUUGUCCGGAUUUACUGGGCGUAAAGAGCGCGCAGGCGGUCGUGCAAGUCGCGUGUGAAAGCCCCCCGGCUCAACUGGGGAGGGUCACGCGAUACUGCUCGACUUGAAGGCAGGAGAGGGAAGUGGAAUUCCCGGUGUAGUGGUGAAAUGCGUAGAUAUCGGGAGGAACACCAGUGGCGAAGGCGACUUCCUGGCCUGUUCUUGACGCUGAGGCGCGAAAGCUAGGGUAGCAAACGGG
rnacentral:rRNA from 1 species